GAUGAAGAACGUAGUGAAAUGCGAUAAGUAAUGUGAAUUGCAGAAUUCAGUGAAUCAUCGAAUCUUUGAACGCACAUUGCGCCCGUCAGUAUUCUGGCGGGCAUGCCUGUUCGAGCGUCAUUACGCCCCUCAAGUCCCCUGUGGACUUGGUGUUGGGGAUCGGCGAGGCUGGUUUUCCAGCACAGCCGUCCCUUAAAUUAAUUGGCGGUCUCGCCGUGGCCCUCCUCUGCGCAGUAGUAAAACACUCGCAACAGGAGCCCGGCGCGGUCCACUGCCGUAAAACCCCCCAACUUUUUAUAGUUGACCUCGAAUCAGGUAGGACUACCCGCUGAACUUAAGCAUAUCAAUAAGCGGAGGA
rnacentral:misc_RNA from 1 species